UGGGGAAUAUUGCACAAUGGGCGCAAGCCUGAUGCAGCCAUGCCGCGUGUAUGAAGAAGGCCUUCGGGUUGUAAAGUACUUUCAGUCGGGAGGAAGGGAGUAAAGUUAAUACCUUUGCUCAUUGACGUUACCCGCAGAAGAAGCACCGGCUAACUCCGUGCCAGCAGCCGCGGUAAUACGGAGGGUGCAAGCGUUAAUCGGAAUUACUGGGCGUAAAGCGCACGCAGGCGGUUUGUUAAGUCAGAUGUGAAAUCCUCGGGCUCAACCUGGGAACUGCAUCUGAUACUGGCAAGCUUGAGUCUCGUAGAGGGGGGUAGAAUUCCAGGUGUAGCGAUGAAAUGCGUAGAGAUCUGGAGGAAUACCGGUGGCGAAGGCGGCCCCCUGGACGAAGACUGACGCUCAGGUGCGAAAGCGUGGGGAGCAAACAGG
rnacentral:rRNA from 1 species